AUGGGGGAAACCCUGAUGCAGCCAUGCCGCGUGUGUGAAGAAGGCCUUCGGGUUGUAAAGCACUUUCAGUUGUGAGGAAAAGUUAGUAGUUAAUACCUGCUAACCGUGACGUUAACAACAGAAGAAGCACCGGCUAACUCCGUGCCAGCAGCCGCGGUAAUACGGAGGGUGCGAGCGUUAAUCGGAAUUACUGGGCGUAAAGCGCACGCAGGCGGUUUGUUAAGCUAGAUGUGAAAGCCCCGGGCUCAACCUGGGAUGGUCAUUUAGAACUGGCAGACUAGAGUCUUGGAGAGGGGAGUGGAAUUCCAGGUGUAGCGGUGAAAUGCGUAGAUAUCUGGAGGAACAUCAGUGGCGAAGGCGACUCCCUGGCCAAAGACUGACGCUCAUGUGCGAAAGUGUGGGUAGCGAACAGGAUUAGAUACCCUGGUAGUCCACACCGUAAACGCUGUCUACUAGCUGUUUGUGACUUUAAGUCGUGAGUAGCGAAGCUAACGCGCUAAGUAGACCGCCUGGGGAGUACGGCCGC
rnacentral:rRNA from 1 species